CUAUGCUACUGUGCCAGUUUUCUUUUACAUAUGCACGUUUUUCGUUUCUGUGUAUGGACUAGGGAGUGACUGUCGAUGUAUUCAUUAACUUAAGGAAGUGGUCCAAUCCCAUUAUCACAUAUAUGAGAUGGUGCAUGCAUGCUAUGAUCUGCUAGUUUUCUGAUUUAUGGACCAGCUGGGGAAAUGAUAACAUCAUACAGAAACAAGAGUUAUAUUAGAUGGUUUGGUAUUGUGCAUCUCAAAGAAUCUUGGGAAUGUGGAGAUGGAAUUCAAUUGAUUCAGUAGUGUUGUUACCUCUUGGUUUAAGUGAAUGGGUUGGUUGAUGCGUAUUGGGAGUUGGAUGUUUGGCAGGAGAUUGAAGCUGUAAGAAUUAUGCUUAAUGAACAGUUUCGACAUGUGUGUAGAGAAGCCAACCAAAUUGCUGAUUUUCAGCUGGCAACUAGGGGUACUUCGUCUGUGUUUGUGUGGAUGUAAAACAAGUUCCUAAAGAGGUUAUGGGCCGGUUUUCUGAGGCUUGAAAGAGCUGGUUUUGCUUACAUGAUAUGUAAAUGAGUUUUUGUGUGAGUUUUCAUGUCCUUCAUGUACGGUUAUGUGUGUAUAUGGUACUUUGAGAAGUAAUAUAUCUAUAAAAUGAUCUUAUAUAUAAAACAACCUUAUAACU